rnacentral:rRNA from 1 species
AUUGAACGCUGGCGGCAGGCCUAACACAUGCAAGUCGAGCGAGCGGCGGACGGGUGAGUAAUGUAUGGGGGUCUGCCCGAUAGAGGGGGAUAACUACUGGAAACGGUAGCUCAUACCGCAUACUCUCUGAUGAACCCAUAUGGGAUUAGCUAGUUGGUGGGGUAAAGGCUCACCAAGGCAACGAUCCGUAGCUGGUUUGAGAGGACGACCAGCCACACUGGGACUGAGACACGGCCCAGACUCCUACGGGAGGCAGCAGUGGGGAAUUUUGGACAAUGGGGGAAACCCUGAUCCAGCCAUCCCGCGUGUAUGAGAAGGCCUUCGGGUUGUAAAGUACUUUUGGCAGGGAAGCGGUAUCUGCAGAAUAAGCACCGGCUAACUACGUGCCAGCAGCCGCGGUAAUUC